rnacentral:lncRNA from 12 species
AUGGACUUUCCACCUGGCACUACUAGCAACCAAUCACAUUUCAUUCAAAACAACUUAUGUAAAUGCCCUUUGUCUCUCCAGAGCACACCUGAUAUUAGUGACUCUAUGUCUCCCAGAUUGCAAACCCUAAGACCCCCAAUAAAUGUACAAAUUUUAUUUUACAGAUUGCAGUUCUGCCUUUCAAUAUUACAUGGUAUCAGGAGUGGGAUUCAAAGUGACCAGCAGUCAUCUCCAGCACUUGCUGCCAUCUCCAGCACUGCCAUGGAUUUGAGUAAGGCAUUAUGGAUGCCACUUGCAGCAGCCCCAGGAAAGCCCUGGAAGAAGCACUGGUGCCGGAGCAGGUCCUUAGCAAAGUGCACAAGGUGAUGUAGUUCAAGAAGUACCUGUUCUUGGAAACCUCUGUUCUCUCAUCUGGGAAGGGAGCAACUAAGGCUAUCAUAACUUCACGCUUAUGAAUGAUGCACACUUAAUAUUUUUGACACUAUUUGUUUAAACAAUUCGUUCAAUUGUAAAAAGUUUUGUAAAUUGCCAAUAUUAAAUUUCCCACUUUAUUGUUCCAUGACAGACAUUAUUUGCCCACUAUAAGGAAGGAAAAUAAUUUUCUUCUCACUGUUCUAAGUUCUUGCAAGGGCCACUGUACAAAAGACUGAUUUUUUUAAAAGAUUUUAUUUAUUUAUUCAUGACAGACACAGAGAGAGAGAGGCAGAGACACAGGCAGAGGGAAGAGCAGGCUCCCAAGGUGGAGCCCGAUGCGGGACAUGAUCCCGGGUCUCCAGGAUCACACCCUGGGCUGAAGGCGGUGCUAAACCACUGGGCCACUGGGACUGCCCACAAAAGACUGAUUAACAGGACUAAACAGAAGUUAAUUAACCUGUGUAUCUUCGCUAUGACACAGUAAGCAACACAAAAGUUUGGUUUCAACUUUAGUUUAUGUAGUAUUUUAGCAGCGGAACAGUAAACUUUUAGAAUAACUACAUGACAAAAGAAAAACACCUUGAGUCUCCAGGGCAAUAAAUUGUGAGGAGGCAAAUAUAUGGGAAACUAA